rnacentral:rRNA from 1 species
UACGUAGGGAGCAAGCGUUGUCCGGAAUCAUUGGGCGUAAAGCGCGCGUAGGUGGCUUCGUAAGUCCGCUGUGAAAGUCAAAGGCUCAACCUUUGAAAGCCGAUGGAUACUGCGGAGCUAGAGUACGGAAGAGGCGAGUGGAAUUCCCGGUGUAGCGGUGGAAUGCGCAGAUAUCAGGAGGAACACCAAUAGCGAAGGCAGCUCGCUGGGACGUUACUGACACUGAGGCGCGAAAGCGUGGGGAGCGAACAGG